GAUGAGCGCUGGCGGCGUGCCUAAUACAUGCAAGUCGAGCGAACAGACGGGGAGCUUGCUCCUCUGACGUUAGCGGCGGACGGGUGAGUAACACGUGGAUAACCUACCUAUAGGACUGGGAUAACUUCGGGAAACCGGAGCUAAUACCGGAUGAUAUAUUGAACCGCAUGGCUCAAUAGUGAAAGACGCUUUUGCUGUCACUUAUCUCUGGUCCCGCGCCGCAUUGGCUAGUUGGUCAGGUCACGGCUUCCCCAGGCAGCGAUGCGUAGCCGACCUGAGAGGGGGAACGGCCCCACGGGAAGUGAGAGAGGGUCCGGACUCCUACGGGAGGCAGGAGGAGGGAAGGUACAGCAAUGGGCGAGAGCCUGACGGAGCAAGGCCGCGCGAGUGAGGAAGGGCGGCGGAACGGGAUGUGCUGUGAUUAGGGAAGAGGGAAAGUGGAGGGAAGCGUGCACGUCAUGAGGGUACCUAGUCAGAAAGCCACGGCUAACUACGUG
rnacentral:rRNA from 1 species